rnacentral:rRNA from 1 species
UGAGUAACACGUAUCCAACCUGCCGUCUACUCUUGCCAGCCUUCUGAAAGGAAGAUUAAUCCAGGAUGGCAUCAUGAGUUCACAUGUCCGCAUGAUUAAAGGUAUUUUCCGGUAGACGAUGGGGAUGCGUUCCAUUAGAUAGUAGGCGGGGUAACGGCCCACCUAGUCUUCGAUGGAUAGGGGUUCUGAGAGGAAGGUCCCCCACAUUGGAACUGAGACACGGUCCAA